rnacentral:rRNA from 1 species
UACGAAGGGGGCUAGCGUUGUUCGGAAUUACUGGGCGUAAAGCGCGCGCAGGUGGUCUUUCAAGUCAGUGGUGAAAGCCCGGAGCUCAACUCCGGAAAUGCCAUUGAAACUGUAAGACUUGAGGAUGAGAGAGGUGAGUGGAAUUCCCAGUGUAGAGGUGAAAUUCGUAGAUAUUGGGAAGAACACCGGUGGCGAAGGCGGCUCACUGGCUCGUAACUGACGCUCAUGCACGACAGCGUGGGGAUCAAACAGG